AGUAAUUAAUUAAAAAACAAUAAAGACAGAAUUAAUUUAAUUAUAUGUUUUCAAGCUGCAGUAAAUGCUCAAGAAGGAAUAAUACUUUAAAAAAGUUACAAAAAACUACAGUAUAUAAUAAUUUAAUUCUCUUAGUGCGCAAAGGGCUCCUUUUAAUUAGGACCCCGCGUUAGGCACUUAAAGCAGUUCGAGAAGAGAAGAAUUGAAUGUGGCCCGUUGCAAGGCGAGUUUCAAGCAAAUCGGCGGAAUAUGUACUGCCUGCCAGCAUCAUUAGCCGCUUUUAGUUGUUAACUUUUAAACGUAACAUUUAAUUUUCGCUAAAAGGCUCUGCGCGAAAAAAGCAAAUCAUACAUAUACAGGGAUGUCUGAAAGGUGAGAAAAGGUAAAGUGAGUGCAGGGGGUCGGUACCGUUAUAAAUAACGUAAUCUUCACGCACGUAAUUCAAAUGUGGAGGAUGGGCGUGUCUCGGUUGCGUCUCAUUUAGCGCACGUAACCAAAUAAUGACCGAAAUGAUGGUCCCCGCUGAUGGGCAAAGCGGCGUAUACAAAUGGAGGGCAGUGGAGGGGAAGUAAACUGCGUGCGUUUUGUAAAUAAAAUAAAAUAAAAUAAAAUAUAACGUAACGAAGCGAAAUGUUUUAUCAACGUGCCGGAGCGCACUAAACAGUAACUACACUGACCAUAACAUUCGCGAUGAUAAACAAUAUAAAGAACGUAUACAGCUAUAAAGGUUUGUACUUUCCUACAAUUAUUUUUGUAUUGCUUUCCUUUAAACUUCCGAUUUAGUUAAGCUCAAAACUCAAAUUUCAUGAUAGUAGUUUAUAGUAUUGCAGCGGCGUACGCGCCCGCCCCUAGGAUGAACCAUUGACAGAUGGCACGCUGACCAAAGUGGCGGCUGCGGUGUGCUCUGGCUAUCUGUGGAUCCAAGCCUUGUCUCCCUGCUGAUUAUCGCUUCUGGUCCAUGUGAUACUUGUUUUUGUAAUUGCUUUGCUUUGUCGUAAAUGGAGAGCGAAACAGGAAGAUAGAUUGCAAUUGCUACAGGCCAUUACCAGGAUGAAAAGAGAAGGGAGGCCGUACAAAUUUCUUGUCAUUAAAUUAAAAAUAAACGACAAUAUUUUAUGCGCCUAUAAAUAUGCAACAAAACACAA